rnacentral:rRNA from 1 species
CAGCCGCCACGGUAAUACAGAGGGUGCAAGCGUUAAUCGGAAUUACUGGGCGUAAAGCGCGCGUAGGUGGUUUGUUAAGUUGGAUGUGAAAGCCCCGGGCUCAACCUGGGAACUGCAUCCAAAACUGGCAAGCUAGAGUACGGUAGAGGGUGGUGGAAUUUCCUGUGUAGCGGUGAAAUGCGUAGAUAUAGGAAGGAACACCAGUGGCGAAAGCGGCUCACUGGACCAUAACUGACGCUGAUGCACGAAAGCUAGGGGAGCAAACAGGAUUAGAUACCCCCGUAGUCCCUGUCUCUUAUAC